GUCAUUAGAGGAAGUAAAAGUCGUAACAAGGUUUCCGUAGGUGAACUGCGGAAGGAUCAUUAGUGAACGCCCUCACGGGCUUAUAACUAUUCCAAACCUCUGUGAACCGUGCCCUUCGGGGCUAUUUUACAAACAUGGUGUAAUGAACGUCAUAUAUCAUAACAAAACAAAACUUUCAACAACGGAUCUCUUGGCUCUCGCAUCGAUGAAGAACGCAGCGAAAUGCGAUAAGUAAUGUGAAUUGCAGAAUUCAGUGAAUCACCGAAUCUUUGAACGCACCUUGCGCCCUCUGGUAUUCCGGAGGGCAUGCCUGUUUGAGUGUCAUGUAGACUCAAUCCCUCGGGUUUCCGAGGAGAUUGGACUUGGGUGUUGCCGCUCUGCCGGCUCGCCUUAAAAGACUUAGCGGGAUAGCACCGUAGUCGGCGUAAUAAGUUUCGUCGGUGAAGGUUGUGAUGACUGCUUACAAUCGCCCUCGGGCAAUUUUUGACUCUGACCUCAAAUCAGGUAGGACUACCCUGCUGAACUUAAGCAUAUCAAUAAGCGGAGGAAAAGAAACUAACAAGGAUUCCCUUAGUAGCGGCGAGCGAAGCGGGAUGAGCUCAAAUUUGAAAGCUGGCGUCCUUCGGGCGUCCGCAUUGUAAUCUAUAGAG
rnacentral:rRNA from 1 species